GCAUAACUAUCAUCAGAGAUAGUUAUAGGAAAGAAGUUUAUUAAGAAAAAGAACAAAUUUUACAAUUGUAGAAAUCGUAAGAUUUUAACAAGUAAUCAAUGAAAAUAUCUGAUCUAUCAACUAGUUGGUAGUAUAGAGGACUACCAAGGUUAUAACGGAUAACGAGAAAUUAGGGUUUGACAUCGGAGAAGGAGCUUUAAAAAUGGCUACUACUUCUAAGGAAGGCAGCAGGCGCGUAAAUUACCCACUUUUAACAUAAAGAGGUAGUGACGACAAAUAACUCUUUUAAAGCCGUAG
rnacentral:rRNA from 1 species